rnacentral:rRNA from 1 species
UACGGGGGGGGCAAGCGUUGUUCGGAAUUACUGGGCGUAAAGGGCUCGUAGGCGGCCAACUAAGUCGGAUGUGAAAUCCCCAGGCUUAACCUGGGAACUGCAUCCGAUACUGGAUGGCUUGAAUCCGGGAGAGGGAUGCGGAAUUCCAGGUGUAGCGGUGAAAUGCGUAGAUAUCUGGAGGAACACCGGUGGCGAAGGCGACUCUUUGGCCUGUAACUGACGCUGAGGCGCGAAAGCGUGGGGAGCAAACAGG